rnacentral:rRNA from 1 species
UACAGAGGUCUCGAGCGUUGUUCGGAUUCAUUGGGCGUAAAGGGUGCGUAGGUGGCAGGGUAAGUCGGAUGUGAAAUCCCGGGGCUCAACCUCGGAACUGCAUUCGAUACUGCUUUGCUUGAGUACUGGAGAGGAGAUUGGAAUUUACGGUGUAGCAGUGAAAUGCGUAGAUAUCGUAAGGAAGACCAGUGGCGAAGGCGGAUCUCUGGACAGCUACUGACACUGAGGCACGAAGGCCAGGGGAGCAAACGGG